rnacentral:rRNA from 1 species
GGAUUAGGCAUGCAAGUCGAGCGAGAAAGUUCCCUUCGGGGAGCGAGUACAGCGGCGAACGGGUGAGUAAUACAUAGGGAACCUACCCCCCGGAUUGGGAUAAUUUCUGGAAACGGAUUGUAAUACCAAACGGUCCUCGAAGAGCGCCUGUACUUCUUGGUAAAUGGUUGCCUCGGCUUCUGCCGGGGGAGGGCCCUAUGCCCUAUUAGUUUGUUGGUGGGGUAAUGGCCUACCAAGACAAUGAUGGGUAGCCGGACUGAGAGGUUGGCCGGUCACACUGGGACUGAGACACUGCCCAGACUCCUACGGGAGGCUGCAGUCGAGAAUCUUCCGCAAUGGACGAAAGUCUGACGGGGCGACGCCGCGUGAAAGAUGAAGGCCUUCGGGUUGUAAAUUUCUGUCAGAGGGAAAGAAGGUCGGGAGUUAACAGCUCCUUGACUUGACGUUACCCUUAGAGGAAGCCCUGGCUAACUCCGUGCCAGCAGCCGCGGUAAUACGGAGAGGGCAAGCGUUGUUCGGAAUCACUGGGCAUAAAGGGCACGUAGGCGGGAUGGUAAGUCGGUUGUGAAAGCCCGGGGCUCAACCCCGGAACGGCUUCCGAAACUACCAACCUUGAGGAUGAGAGGGGAGAGUGGAACUUCUGGUGGAGCGGUGAAAUGCGUAGAUAUCAGAAGGAACACCGGUGGCGAAAGCGACUCUCUGGCUCAUUUCUGACGCUGAGGUGCGAAAGCUAGGGUAGCGAACGGGAUUAGAUACCCCGGUAGUCCUAGCCGUAAACGAUGGGAACUAGGUAGGGGGACGUCUAUGCGUUUCCCUGCUGGAGCUAAUGUUUUAAGUUCCCCGCCUGGGGAGUAUGGUCGCAAGGCUAAAACUCAAAGGAAUUGACGGGGGCUCACACAAGCGGUGGAGCAUGUGGUUUAAUUCGAAGCAACGCGCAGAACCUUACCUGGGUUUGACCGCUAGUUGUAGGCACCUGAAAAGGAGCCGAACUGCGUAAGCAGAAGGCUAGUACAGGUGCUGCAUGGCUGUCGUCAGCUCGUGUCGUGAGAUGUCGGGUUAAGUCCCUUAACGAGCGAAACCCCUACUGUCUAGUUGCCAACGGGUAAUGCCGGGGACUCUAGCAGGACCGCUGUGGUUAACACGGAGGAAGGUGGGGAUGACGUCAAGUCCUCAUGGCCCUUAUACCCAGGGCUACACACGUGCUACAAUGGCAGGUACAAAGGGCCGCAAUACGGUAACGUGGAGCUAAUCCCAUAAAGCCUGUCUCAGUACGGAUUGAGGGCUGAAAUUCGCCCUCAUGAAGUUGGAAUCGCUAGUAAUCGCGGAUCAGCAACGCCGCGGUGAAUAUGUUCCUGAGCCUUGUACACACCGCCCGUCAAGCCACGGGAGCUGGUAGUGCCCGAAGUCGCUGACCCAACUCUUCGGAGAGGGAGGCGCCGACGGUAAGACCGGUGACUGGGACUAAGUCGUAACAAGGUAGCCGUAGGAGAACCUGCGGCUGGAUCACCUCCUUUCUAGAGGAUUAUCUAGACCUGAUGCAUCGGUGACGAAGCAUCAGGAACACAUAGCAUCCUCUCUCGUAUCCCAUCCUUUUCUUUUUCUUGUCGCGGCCCAACGCAGGUGCGCUUGGGACCGACGGUUCAUCGAUCUACUUCGACGAACACUCGGGCCUAUAGCUCAGCUGGUUAGAGCGCACGCCUGAUAAGCGUGAGGUCGGUAGUUCAAAUCUACCUAGGCACACUCGCUUCCGCCCAUGCUGGCGGUUGUCGUUCCGGGGGUGUAGCUCAGUUGGGAGAGCACAAGCUUUGCAAGCUUGGGGUCAGGGGUUCGAAUCCCCUCAUCUCCACUUUCUGCUGCCGGCGAUAGAACAACGAACAAUCCGAGGGAAAGCUCGCUGAUGAGCUUCUCUUGCAUCUGGUAACGCAAGGCCGAUUGGCCAGGCGCCUCGAGAUGUAAACUCUGAUCUCUAAUAACUGAAUACUGAGAACGUGGUGAAGACGCUUUAGAGCACCUUCAUCGCUUGCAAUUAUGAUUUUUCUCUGCUACGCGUAAAAGCGUGGUCAAGACAGUAAGGGUAUAUGGUGGAUGCCUUGGUGCAUAUAGCCGACGAAGGACGUAGUGUGCUUGCGAUAAGCUGCGGGGAGCUGGCUAGCGAGCUGUGAUCCGCAGAUUUCCGAAUUGGGAAACCAGUCAGGAGUUAUGUCCUGACAACUGUACCUGAAUACAUAGGGUAUGGUGGGGAACGGGGACAACUGAAGCAU